AAGACCCUAGUAAAAUAGUAUUACACUGCCUUGUCAAGGCAGUAUUGUGGGUUUAAGCCCCGCGAGUCUUU
rnacentral:tRNA from 1 species